rnacentral:tRNA from 1 species
AGCGGGGUAGAGCAGCGGUAGCUCGACAGGCUCAUAACCUGUAGGUCGUGCGGUUCGAAUCCCACCCCCGCAA